GAAACGUUCCCACGGACAUAAUAAUUUACGUUGUGAUUCGAGACUUAUUUAAGUCAGUGGGGCUGGGUAGCGAGAAUAACGCGAUUUUGGUUACCUACCUAUACUACGUGCAAUUAUUCCGGUACAAACCUAAUUAGGCAAUAACUUAAUCUACAUUUCAAUGGUUGUCUAAAAUUCUUUCAAGAGCCGUUUGUCACCUUAAGGCUCUUACCCCUAAGUACUGGAAAUUGGAAAAAAUAUAUAGUAGCCGCCCCUGACGUCACGUGGGACGCAAAUUUAUUACCUGCACAAGUAACUGCGGAAUACCAAGCGCUGUUCCUGAUGAUAAGAUUUUAAUUCUAUGGUGAUAAGCCGCCAUCCCACCGUCCACCUGUAUGUACGUGCUGUCCAUGUGGAUAAUGGUUCACACAAUGCUCUGAGGUUUGAGAUAACAA